UACGUAGGGCGCAAGCGUUGUCCGGAAUUAUUGGGCGUAAAGAGCUCGUAGGCGGCCAGUUGCGUCUGCUGUGAAAUCCCGGGGCUCAACCCCGGGCGUGCAGUGGAUACGGGCUGGCUAGAGGCAGGCAGGGGAGAACGGAAUUCCCGGUGUAGCGGUGAAAUGCGCAGAUAUCAGGAGGAACACCGGUGGCGAAGGCGGGUCUCUGGGCCGGUACCGACGCUGAGGAGCGAAAGCGUGGGGAGCAAACAGG
rnacentral:rRNA from 1 species